UCUGCACCGCAUGAGAUUUUCCAAGACUAAUGGUGGUUGGUCAAAGGGUGUGGAAGAGAGAGCUGAGGGCAAAGCAGAUGAGGAAGGUCCUUCAUCACCUCUCCAUGAUCACAAGGUUGUAUCUCCAGACAUUCAGUUUAUUUCUGACCAUGAGGCUGGGCCGUUAGGGUCUACGAGGAGGCACACUCCAGUCCAGCAGCC
rnacentral:lncRNA from 1 species